UACGUAGGGUGCGAGCGUUAAUCGGAAUUACUGGGCGUAAAGCGUGCGCAGGCGGUUCUGCAAGUCAGAUGUGAAAUCCCCGGGCUUAACCUGGGAAUGGCAUUGGUGACUGUACGGCUAGAGUGUGUCAGAGGGGGGUAGAAUUCCACGUGUAGCAGUGAAAUGCGUAGAGAUGUGGAGGAAUACCGAUGGCGAAGGCAGCCCCCUGGGAUAACACUGACGCUCAUGCACGAAAGCGUGGGGAGCAAACAGG
rnacentral:rRNA from 1 species